CCCACGUGUUCCAUCCAGAGCCCUUUAUUGCAAACCCCGCCCCCCUCCCUCCAUCCCGGCUUCUGAUUGGCCGAGGGGAGGGGGUGGCUCAGCUCCCAUUGGUCAGUGAUGGGGGGUGGGUGGGGUCAGGGCUCUCCGUGGGGCAGCCCCGGCUCAAGUCCGUCUGUGGGGCUGGAUGUGGGUCCGUCCGUGGGUCCGUCCGUGGGUCGGUCUAUGGGUCACGGGGGCGAGUGGGGGCCCUCCCCCCCCCCCCUCACUCCUCGCCGUGGGUCGGUCCGUGGGUCCAUCCGUGGGUCCAUGGGUCAAUCUAUGGGUCAAGCCCAUGGGUCCAUCCAUGAGUCCAUCCAUGGGUCAAUCUAUGGGUCAGUCUAUGGGUCCAUGGGUCAAUCUAUGGGUCAGUCUAUGGGUCCAUGGGUCCAUCCAUGGGUCAAUCCAGUCUAUGGGUCCAUGGCUCCAUCAACGUUCUGGUCCAUGUGUCCAUCCGUGGGUCCAUCCGUGGGUCGUUGGGGGGCGAUAUGUGGGUCAAUCUAUGGGUCAGUCUACGGGUCCAUCCAUGGGUCAGCCCAGUCUAUGGGUCCAUGGGUCCAUCAAUGGUUUGGUCCAUGGAUCCAUCUAUGGGUCAAUCUAUGGGUCAAUCUAUGGGUCAGUCUGUGGGUCCAUCCAUGGGUCAAUCUAUGGGUCAAGCCCAUGAGUCCAUCCAUGGUUCAAUCUAUGGGUCAAUCUAUGGGUCCAUGUGUCCAUCCGUGGGUCGCUCCGUGGGUCGGGGUUGGUUGUGGGUUGGUUGUGGGGUGGAGGGGUGACAUGUGGGGCGAUGUGUGGGGCGACGUGUGGGGCGCCGUGUGGGUCCAGCCCCCCACGUCUCACUCCUCGCCGUGGGGCCAGCGCAGGCACCACUCGCAGGCGUUUUGGAACAUGCGCAACCAGGGGGCCGGGGUUGGGGACCCCCGCGCCGUGGGGCAGGAGGACCCCGACCCCCCACCCCCACCCCGCGCCGUGGGGCGGCCCCACGCCGGGGGCCACCAGCCCCACUGCCAUGGGGUGACCCCCCGCUCGGGGUGGGGCAUGAGGGCCAGGUGGCGGCCGCAGGGGGAGCAGAGGGCGGCGGCGCCCCCCCCCGAGCCGUUGGGGUUCAG
rnacentral:lncRNA from 1 species